GCCUGAUGGAGCAACGCCGCGUGCAGGACGAAGGCCUUCGGGUCGUAAACUGCUUUUAUAAGUGAAGAAUAUGACGGUAACUUAUGAAUAAGGGUCGGCUAACUACGUGCCAGCAGCCGCGGUAAUAAAA
rnacentral:rRNA from 1 species